rnacentral:lncRNA from 1 species
AUGCAACUGAUAUUCGAUGUUGCAAAUGGUCUUCAAUUAUUGUAGCUUCAUAUUAUUCAAGAAGCAUAUUAUAUAAAGUUUUCUCUGAAAAAGGUCUUGCCAAAAUGAGUUAAGAACAUAUCUUACCCAUCAUUGCUAUCAUACUAACCCACCAAUCCUAAAACCUUUGCACUGUGCAUCACCUUAUUAUAACUAAAUAGAAUGUAAAUCACACAAAAAAUACUGACUGAUAAAAAAAAUACUGAAAAUUUAGUUUAUCAAAAACUCAUAAUUUGAACAACGUGUUUUUUAGCAUAGAAGAUAAACAUCGAAAGGCUAAGAAAAAUCAAUGGAACAAUUGCAGGGAGCCAAAAGUUUUUCAAUUCUUCUUUCCCUUCUUAAUGAAAUCCCCUCUCCUUUCCACCUACCCUAAAAAAAGGUAGUAGGCAAUCAGACUGUAAUGGUAUUCUAAGAUGAACUCACAUGAUUUCCUAUUAUUAAAAUUUAACAAUUUAAAGAAAAAUUGAAGAGCAAAACACAUACUAUAAAACCUAGAUUCUAAAAAGUAUAAUCUCAUUUGUAAUUAGGAACUCGAGAACAAAGCAACUCACACAAUAAUGAACAACAAUUUAACCCAAUUAUACAUAGAUCCACAAGAAUACUUAAACAAUUUCAGUUUCAAACUCUACAUCGGAAAGUAAAUAAAGAAGACAUAGCGCAACAGAAACUAAGAAAGAGCAUGACAAACUUUUAUUUUUCGAAUUGUGCUGACUUACUAUGUAGAGAAGAUGAUGAAGAAGGGGAAUUGAGCUUACCUUUCUGGCGAAUUGGGAAGCGAAAAUUGACUCCUGAAAUUUUUCGUGAGUUGGAUAGGGGGAAUUGAGCCCUUCUGGAAGAUAUCGUGCCCUAUGAAAAAAAGGAGGGAGAAAAGGAGAGGAAAUUUUG